rnacentral:lncRNA from 1 species
GGCAUCCCCCAAAUAUCAGAACAACCCAGACAUAUCAGGAACCAAAAGACCCUAUCAUCCCAAUAGACUGGUGCAUUGAUAUAAGGUUAAGCUUUCUCCUUGUUGUUUGCCAACUUGGAUCACUACCUCAUCUUUCGACGCUUCCUCUUUAGCCUCCUCAUCCUCUUCUUCUUCCACUGCAAAGUAAAGUAACCGCAGAGUUCAUUAGUACUAGUAGUAUUCAAGGAAAUGCUUAGGAACAUAACAAUAAUUCUAAUAUGAAAACUGAGAUAUAGCAGCAUGUGACUUGGAAUCAGAAGAUCGAGUGUUUCAUUGGAUAUCAUCACGUGAUUUUCAGAAACACGAGCCAAUUGUCCUUCAUCAUUUCCCAAACUUAAGUCAAUUUCAAAUUGAAAUAGGACACAACUUUCUAUGAUAUCUACAGAACUAACUCAGCAAAGCAGAUCUGCAGUCGGUUUGACAUUAAGAAUGAGUAGGAGGAUUUUAUCAUCAAAUGAAUGGAUUGUCCACACAAUUCAACUAAAUGGAUUGCAUCAGACUCAUCAGUGUAUUCAUCUGUUGGAAAUAUGCCCUAGAGGCAAUAAUAAAAUGGUUAUUAUUAUAUUUCCUUGUUCAUGAUAAUUGUCUAUUGUUCAUGCUAUAAUUGUAUUAACUGGAAACCGUAAUACAUGUGUGAAUACAUAGACCACAACAUGUCCCUAGUUGACUAGCUCGUUGAUCAAUAGAUGGUUAUGGUUUCCUGACCAUGGACAUUGGAUGUCAUUGAUAACAGGAUCACAUCAUUAGGAGAAUGAUGUGAUGGACAAGACCCAAUCCUAAGCAUAGCACAAGAUCGUGUAGUUCGUUUGCUAAAAUCUUUUCUAAUGUCAAGUAUCAUUUCCUUAGACCAUGAGAUUGUGCAACUCCCGGAUACCGUAGGAAUGCUUUGGGUGUGCCAAACGUCACAACGUAACUGGGUGGCUAUAAAGGUGCACUACGGGUAUCUCCGAAAGUGUCUGUUGGGUUGGCACGAAUCGAGACUGGGAUUUGUCACUCCGUGUGACGGAGAGGUAUCUCUGGGCCCACUCGGUAAUGCAUCAUCAUAAUGAGCUCAGUGUGACUAAGUAGUUAGUCACGGGAUCAUGCAUUACGGAACGAGUAAAGUGACUUGCUGGUGACGAGAUUGAACGAGGUAUUGGGAUACCGACGAUCGAAUCUCGGGCAAGUAACGUACUGAUUGACAAAGGGAAUUGUAUACAGGAUUGCUUGAAUCCUUGACAUCGUGGUUCAUCCGAUGAGAUCAUCGUGGAACAUGUGGGAGCCAACAUGGGUAUCCAGAUCCCACUAUUGGUUAUUGGCCAGAGAGCUGUCUCGGUCAUGUCUGCAUGAUUCCCGAACCCAUAGGGUCUACACACUUAAGGUUCGGUGACGCUAGAGUUGUUAUGGGAAUUAGUGUGCAGUUACGAAUGUUGUUCGGAGUCCCGGAUGACAUCCCGGACGUCACGAGGAGUUCCGAAAUGGUUCGGAGGUAAAGAUUUAUAUAUGGGAAGUCCUAUUUUGGCCACCGGAAAAUGUUCGGGAUUUUUCGGUAUUGUACCGAGAAGGUUCUAGAAGGUUCCGAAGUUGGGCCACCUGCAUGGGGGGACCCACAUGAACGUGGGUAGUGGGGGAAAGGCCCCACACCCCUGGUCAAGGCGCACCAAGAUCCCCCCUUAGAAGGAAUAAGAUCAUAUCCCGAAGGGAUAAGAUCAAGAUCCCUAAAAAGGGGGGAGAAUAAUCGGUUGGGAAGGGAAAUGACGGGGUUUCUUUCCUCCCACCUUUGCCAACGCCCCAAUGGACUUGGAGGGAAAGAAACCAGCCCCCUCCAACCCUAUAUAUAGUGGGGAGGCGCAUGGGAGCUGCAACCCUUGUUAGGGAACGUAGUAAUUUCAAAAAAAUUCCUACGCACACGCAAGAUCAUGGUGAUGGCAUAGCAACGAGAGGGGAGAGUGUUGUCUACGUACCCUCGUAGACCGUUAAGCAGAAGCGUUAUGACAACGCGGUUGAUGUAGUCGUACGUCUUCACGAUCCGACCGAUCCAAGCACCGAACGUACGGCACCUCCGUGUUCAGCACACGUCCAGCUCGAUGACGUUCCCCGGGCUCCAAUCCAGCAAAGCGUCGGGGAUGAGUUCCGUCAGCAUGACGGCGUGGUGAUGAUGAUGAUGUUCUACCGGCACAGGGCUUCACCUAAACUCCGCGAUGUUAUAACCGAGGUGGAAUAUGGUGGAGGGGGCACCGCACACGGCUAAGGAACGAUCCGUAGAUCAACUUGUGUGUCUCUAGGNNNNNNNNNNNNNNNNNNNNNNNNNNNNNNNNNNNNNNNNNNNNNNNNNNNNNNNNNNNNNNNNNNNNNNNNNNNNNNNNNNNNNNNNNNNNNNNNNNNNNNNNNNNNNNNNNNNNNNNNNNNNNNNNNNNNNNNNNNNNNNNNNNNNNNNNNNNNNNNNNNNNNNNNNNNNNNNNNNNNNNNNNNNNNNNNNNNNNNNNNNNNNNNNNNNNNNNNNNNNNNNNNNNNNNNNNNNNNNNNNNNNNNNNNNNNNNNNNNNGCAAGGGGGGAGGCCGGCCGGCCCUUGUGGGCGCGCAAGGAGGAGGAGUCCUCCUCCUAGUAGGAGUAGGACUCCCCCUUUCCUACUCCUACUAGGAGGGGGAAAGGAAGGGGGAGAGGGGGAAGGAAAGAGGGGGGGGCGCCCCCCCCCCUCCUAGUCUAAUUCGGACCAGAGGGAGAGGGGGCGCGAGGCCCACCCUGGCCGCCCCUCUCUCUUUCCACUAAGGCCCAUGUGGACCAUUAACUCUCCCGGGGGGGUUCCGGUAACCCUCCGGCACUCCGGUUUUCUCUGAAAUCACCCGGAACACUUCCGGUGUCCGAGUAUAGUCGUCCAAUAUAUCAAUAUUUAUGUCUCGACCAUUUCGAGACUCCUCGUCAUGUCCGUGAUCACAUCCGGGACUCCGAACAAACUUCGGUACAUCAAAACUUAUAAACUCAUAAUAAAACUGUCAUCGUAAUGUUAAGCGUGCGGACCCUACGGGUUUGAGAACUAUGUAGACAUGACCUAGAACUAUUCUCGGUCAAUAACCAAUAGUGGAACCUGGAUGUUCAUAUUGGUUCCUGCAUAUUCUAUGAAGAUCUUUAUCGGUCAAACCGCAUAACAACAUACGUUGUUCCCUUUGUCAUUGGUAUGUUACUUGCCCGAGAUUCGAUCGUCGGUAUCCAAUACCUAGUUCAAUCUCGUUACCGGCAAGUCUCUUUACUCGUUCCGUAAUACAUCAUUUUGUAACUAACUCAUUAGUUACAAUGCUUGCAAGGCUUAAGUGAUGAGUAUUACCGAGAGGGCCCAGAGAUACCUCUCCGACAAUCGGAGUGACAAAACCUAAUCUCGAAUUAUGCCAACUCAACAUGUACCUUUGGAGACACCUGUAGAGCACCUUUAUAAUCACCCAGUUACGUUGUGACGUUUGGUAGCACACAAAGUGUUCCUCCGGUAAACAGGAGUUGCACAAUCUCAUAGUUGUAGGAACUUUGUAUAAGUCAUGAAGAAAGCAAUAGCAACAUACUAAACGAUCAAGUGCUAAGCUAACGGAAUGGGUCAAGUCAAUCACAUCAUUCUCCUAAUGAUGUGAUCCCAUUAAUCAAAUGACAACACAUGUCUAUGGUUAGGAAACAUAACCAUCUUUGAUCAAUGAGCUAGUCAAGUAGAGGCAUACUAGUGAUACUAUGUUUGUCUAUGUAUUCACACAUGUAUCAUGUUUCCGGUUAAUACAAUUCUAGCAUGAAUAAUAAACAUUUAUCAUGAUAAGAGGAAAUAAAUAAUAACUUUAUUAUUGCCUCUAGGGCAUAUUUCCUUCAGUCUCCCACUUGCACUAGAGUCAAUAAUCUUAGAUCACAUAGUAAUGAUUCUAACACCCAUGGAGUCUUGGUGCUGAUCAUGUUUUGCUCGUGAGAGAGGCUUAGUCAACGAGUCUGCAACAUUCAGAUCCGUAUGUAUCUUGCAAAUCUCUAUGUCUCCCACUUGGACUUGGUCCUGAAUGGAAUUGAAGCGUCUCUUGAUGUGCUUGGUCCUCUUGUGAAAUCUGGAUUCCUUUGCCAAGGCAAUUGCACCAGUAUUGUCACAGAAGAUCUUCAUUGGUCCCGAUGCACUAGGUAUAACACCUACAUCGGAAAUGAACUCCUUCAUCCAGACCCCUUCAUUUGCUGCUUCCGAAGCAGCUAUGUACUCCGCUUCACAUGUAGAUCUCGCCACGACGCUUUGUUUAGAACUGCACCAACUUACAGCUCCACCGUUUAAUAAAAAUACGUAUCUGGUUUGCGAUUUAGAAUCAUCCGGAUCAGUGUCAAAGCUUGCAUCGACGUAACCAUUUACGACUAGCUCUUUGUCACCUCCAUAUACGAGAAACAUAUCCUUAGUCCUUUUCAGGUAUUUCAGGAUGUUCUUUACCGCUGUCCAGUGACCCACUCCUGGAUUACUUUGGUACCUCCCUGCCAAACUAAUAGCAAGGCACACAUCAGGUCUGGUACACAGCAUUGCAUACAUGAUAGAGCCUAUGGCUGAAGCAUAGGGAACUCAUUUUAUUUUCUCUCUAUCUUCUGCAGUGGUCGGGCAUUGAGUCUGACUCAACUUUAUACCUUGUAAUACAGGCAAGAACCCUUUCUUCGCCUGAUCCAUAUUGAACCUUUUCAACACUUUAUCAAGGUACGUGCAUUGUGAAAGUCCAAUCAAGCGUCUUGAUCUAUCUCUAUAGAUCUUAAUGCCCAAUAUGUAAGCAGCUUCACCGAGGUCUUUCAUUGAAAAACUUUUAUUCAAGUAUCCUUUUAUGCUAUUCAGAAAUUCUAUAUCAUUUCCAAUCAACAAUAUGUCAUCCACAUAUAAUAUUAGAAAUGCUACAGAGCUCCCACUCACUUUCUUGUAAAUACAGGGUUCUCCAAAAGUCUGUAUAAAACCAUAUGCUUUGAUCACACUAUCAAAGCGUUUAUUCCAACUCCGAGAGGCUUGCACCAGACCAUAGAUUGAUCGCUGGAGCUUGCACACUUUGUUAGCUCCCUUAGGAUCGACAAAACCUUCCGGUUGUAUCAUAUACAACUCUUCUUCCAGAAAUCGAUUCAGAAAUGCAGUUUUGACAUCCAUCUGCCAAAUUUCAUAAUCAUAAAAUGCGGCAAUCGCUAACAUGAUUCAAACAUACUUAAGCAUCGCUACGGGUGAGAAAGUCUCAUCGUAGUCAACCUCUUGAACUUGUCGAAAACCUUUCGCAACAAGUCGAGCUUUAUAGACAGUUACAUUACCGUCAGCGUCAGUCUUCUUCUUAAAGAUCCAUUUAUUCUCAAUGGCUUGCCGAUCAUCGGGCAAGUCAACCAAAGUCCAUACUUUGUUCUCAUACAUGGAUCCCAUCUCAGAUUUCAUGGCUUCUAGCCAUUUUGCGGAAUCUGGGCUCAUCAUUGCUUCCUCAUAGUUCGUAGGUUCAUCAUGGUCAAGUAACAUGACUUCCAGAAUAGGAUUACCGUACCACUCUGGUGCAGAUUUUAUUCUGGUAGACCUACGAGGUUCAGUAGAAACUUGAUCUGAAGUUUCAUGAUCAAUAUCAUUAUCUUCGUCACUAAUUGGUGUAGAUGUCACAGUAAGCAGACAUAGUUAUCUCAUCAAGUUCUACUUUCCUCCCACUCACUUCUUUCGAGAGAAACUCUUUUUCUAGAAAGGAUCCAUUCUUAGCAACGAAUGUCUUGCCUUCGGAUCUGUGAUAGAAGGUGUACCCAACAGUCUCUUUUGGGUAUCCUAUGAAGACACAUUUCUCCGAUUUGGGUUCGAGCUUAUCUGGUUGAAGUUUCUUCACAUAAGCAUCGCAACCCCAAACUUUAAGAAACGACAACUUUGGUUUCUUGCCAAACCACAGUUCAUAAGGCGUCGUCUCAACGGAUUUUGAUGGUGCCCUAUUCAAUGUGAAUGCAGCCGUCUCUAAAGCAUAACCCCAAAACGAUAGCGGUAAAUUAGUAAGAGACAUCAUAGAUCACACCAUAUCUAGUAAAGUACGAUUACGACGUUCGGACACACCAUUUCGUUGUGGUGUUCCGGGUGGCGUGAAUUGCGAAACUAUUCCGCAUGGUUUCAAAUGUAAACCAAACUCGUAACUCAAAUAUUCUCCUCCACGAUCAGAUCGUAGAAACUUAAUUUUCUUGUUACGAUGAUUUUCCACUUCACUCUGAAAUUCUUUGAACUUUUCAAAUGUUUCAGACUUGUGUUUCAUUAAGUAGAUAUACCCAUAUCUGCUCAAAUCAUCUGUGAAGGUGAGAAAAUAACGAUAUCCGCCACGAGCUUCAAUAUUCAUCGGUCCACAUACAUCUGUAUGUAUGAUUUCCAACAAAUCUGUUGCUCUCUCCAUAGUACCGGAGAACGGUGUUUUAGUCAUCUUGCCCAUGAGGCACGGUUCGCAAGUACCAAGUGAUUCAUAAUCAAGUGAUUCCAAAAGUCCAUCAGUAUGGAGUUUCUUCAUGCGCUUUACACCGAUAUGACCUAAACGGCAGUGCCACAAAUAAGUUGCACUAUCAUUAUCAACUCUGCAUCUUUUGGCUUCGACAUUAUGAAUAUGUGUAUCACUACUAUCGAGAUUCAAUAAAAAUAGACCACUCUUCAAGGGUGCAUGACCAUAAAAGAUAUUACUCAUAUAAAUAGAACAACCAUUAUUCUCUGAUUUAAAUGAAUAACCGUCUCGCAUCAAACAAGAUCCAGAUAUAAUGUUCAUGCUCAACGCUGGCACCAAAUAACAAUUAUUCAGGUCUAAAACUAAUCCUGAAGGUAGAUGUAGAGGUAGCGUGCCGACCGCGAUCACAUCGACUUUGGAACCAUUUCCCACGCGCAUCGUCACCUCGUCCUUGGCCAGUGCUCGCUUAUUCCGUAGUCCCUGUUUUGAGUUGCAAAUAUUAGCAACAGAACUAGUAUCAAAUACCCAGGUGCUACUACGAGCUCUAGUUAGGUACACAUCAAUAACAUGUAUAUCACAUAUACCUUUGUUCACUUUUCCAUCCUUCUUAUCCGCCAAAUACUUGGGGCAGUUCCGCUUCCAGUGACUAGUUUGCUUGCAGUAGAAGCACUCAGUUUCAGGCUUAGGUCCAGACUUGGGUUUCUUCUCUUGAGCAGCAACUUGCUUGCUGUUCUUCUUGAAGUUCCCCUUCUUCUUCCCUUUGCCCUUUUUCUUGAAACUAGUGGUCUUGUUGACCAUCAACACUUGAUGCUCCUUCUUGAUUUCUACCUCCACAGCCUUUAGCAUUGCGAAGAGCUCGGGAAUUGUCUUGUUCAUCCCUUGCAUAUUAUAGUUCAUCACGAAGCUCUUGUAGCUUGGUGGCAGUGAUUGGAGAAUUCUGUCAAUGACGCUAUCAUCCGGAAGAUUAACUCCCAGUUGAAUCAAGUGAUUAUUAUACCCAGACAUUUUGAGUAUAUGCUCACUGACAGAACUAUUCUCCUCCAUCUUGCAGCUGUAGAACUUAUUGGAGACUUCAUAUCUCUCAAUCCGGGCAUUUGCUUGAAAUAUUAACUUCAACUCCUGGAACAUCUCAUAUGCUCCAUGACGUUCAAAACAUCGUUGAAGACCCGGUUCUAAGCCGUAAAGCAUGGCACACUGAACUAUAGAGUAGUCAUCAGCUUUGCUCUGCCAGACGUUCACAACAUCUGGCGUUGCUCCUGCAGCAGGCCUGGCACCCAGCGGUGCUUCUAGGACGUAAUUCUUCUGUACAGCAAUGAGGAUAAUCCUCAAGUUACGGACCCAGUCCGUGUAAUUGCUACCAUCAUCUUUCAACUUUGCUUUCUCAAGGAACGCACUAAAAUUCAACGGAACAACAGCAUGAGCCAUCUAUCUACAACAAACAUAGACAAGCAAAAUACUAUCAGGUACUAAGUUCAUGAUAAAUUUAAGUUCAAUUAAUCAUAUUACUUAAGAACUCCCACUUAGAUAGAUAUCUCUCUAGUCAUCUAAGUGAUUACGUGAUCCAAAUCAACUAAACCAUAACCGAUCAUCACGUGAGAUGGAGUAGUUUUCAAUGGUGAACAUCACUAUGUUGAUCAUAUCUACUAUAUGAUUCACACUCGACCUUUCGGUCUCUGUGUUCCGAGGCCAUAUCUGCAUAUGCUAGGCUCGUCAAGUAUAACCUGAAUAUUUUGCGUGUGCAAAACUGGCUUGCACCGGUUGUAGAUGGACGUAGAGCUUAUCACACCCGAUCAUCACGUGGUGUGUGGGCACGACGAACUUUGGCAACGGUGCAUAUUCAGGGAGAACACUUCUUGAUAAUUUUUAGUGAGAGAACAUCUUAAAAUGCUACCGUCAAUCAAAGCAAGAUAAUAUGCAUAAAGGAUAAACAUCACAUGCAAUCAAUAUAAGUGAUAUGAUAUGGCCAUCAUCAUCUUGUGCUUGUGAUCUCCAUCUCCGAAGCACCAUCGUGAUCACCAUCGUCACCGGCGCGACACCUUGAUCUUCAUCGUAGCAUCGUUGUCGUUUACGCCAUCUAUUGCUUCUACGACUAUCGCUACCACUUAGUGAUAAAGUAAAGCAAUUACAGGGCGUUUGCAUUUCACACAAUAAAGCGACAACCAUAUGGCUCCUGCCAGUUGCCGAUAACUUCAGUUACAAAACAUGAUCAUCUCAUACAAUAAAUAUAGCAUCACGUCUUGACCAUAUCACAUCACAACAUGCCCUGCAAAAACAAGUUAGACGUCCUCUACUUUGUUGUUGCAAGUUUUACGUGGCUGCUAUGGGCUUAGCAAGAACCGUUCUUACCUACGCAUCAAAACCACAACGAUAGUUCAUCAAGUUAGUGUUGUUUUAACCUUUGCAAGGACCGGGCGUAGCCACACUCGGUUCAACUAAAGUUGGAGACACUGACACCCGCCAGCCACCUAUGUGCAAAGCACGUCGGUAGAACCAGUCUCGCGUAAGCGUACGCGUAAUGUCGGUCCGGGCCGCUUCAUCCAACAAUACCGCCGAACCAAAGUAUGACAUGCUGGUAAGCAGUAUGACUUGUAUCGCCCACAACUCACUUGUGUUCUACUCGUGCAUAUAACAUCAACGCAUAAAACCUAGGCUCGGAUGCCACUGUUAGGGAACGUAGUAAUUUCAAAAAAAUUCCUACGCACACGCAAGAUCAUGGUGAUGGCAUAGCAACGAGAGGGGAGAGUGUUGUCUAUGUGCCCUCGUAGACCGUUAAGCGUAAGCGUUAUGACAACGCGGUUGAUGUAGUCGUACGUCUUCACGAUCCGACCGAUCCAAGCACUGAACGUAUGGCACCUCCGUGUUUAGCACACGUCCAGCUCGAUGACGUUCCCCGGGCUCCAAUCCAGCAAAGCGUCGGGGAUGAGUUCCGUCAGCACGGCGGCGUGGUGACGAUUAUGAUGUUCUACCGGCGCAGGGCUUCGCCUAAACUCCGCGACGAUAUAACUGAGGUGGAAUAUGGUGGAGGGGGGCACCGCACACGGCUAAGGAACGAUCCGUAGAUCAACUUGUGUGUCUCUAGGGUGCCCCCCACCCCCGUAUAUAAAGGAGCAAGGGGGAGGCCGGCCGGCCCUUGUGGGCACGCCAAGGAGGAGUCCUCCUCCUCCUAGUAGGAGUAGGACUCCCCCUUUCCUACUCCUACUAGGAGGGGGAAAGGAAGGGGAGAGGGGGAAGGAAAGAGGGGGCGCCGCCCCCCCCCCUCCUAGUCCAAUUUGGACCAGAGGGAGAGGGGGAGCGCGGCCCACCCUGGCCGCCCCUCUCUGUUUCCACUAAGGCCCAUGUGGCCCAUUAACUCUCCCGGGGGGGUUCCGGUAACCCUCCGGCACUCAGGUUUUCUCCGAAAUCACCCGGAAUACUUCCGGUGUCCGAAUAUAGUUGUCCAAUAUAUCAAUCUUUAUAUCUCGACCAUUUCGAGACUCCUUGUCAUGUCUGUGAUCACAUACGGGACUCCGAACAAACUUCAGUACAUCAAAACUUAUAAACUCAUAAUAAAAUUGUCAUCGUAACGUUAAGCGCGCGGACCCUACGGGUUCGAGAACUAUGUAGACAUGACCUAGAACUAUUCUCGGUCAAUAACCAAUAGUGGAACCUGGAUGUUCAUAUUGGUUCCUACAUAUUCUACGAAGAUCUUUAUCGGUCAAACCGCAUAACAACAUACGUUGUUCCCUUUGUCAUCGGUAUGUUACUUGCCCGAGAUUCGAUCGUCGGUAUCCAAUACCUAGUUCAAUCUCGUUAUCGGCAAGUCUCUUUACUCGUUUCGUAAUACAUCAUUUCGUAACUAACUCAUUAGUUACAAUGCUUGCAAGGCUUAAGUGAUGAGUAUUACCAAGAGGGCCCAGAGAUACCUCUCCGACAAUCGGAGUGACAAAACCUAAUCUCGAAUUAUGCCAACUCAACAUGUACCUUUGGAGACACCUGUAGAGCACCUUUAUAAUCACCCAGUUAGGUUGUGACGUUUGGUAGCACACAAAGUGUUCCUCCGGUAAACGGGAGUUGCACAAUCUCAUAGUUGUAGGAACUUUGUAUAAGUCAUGAAGAAAGCAAUAGCAACAUACUAAACGAUCAAGUGCUAAGCUAACGGAAUGGGUCAAGUCAAUCACAUCAUUCUCCUAAUGAUGUGAUCCCAUUAAUCAAAUGACAACACAUCUAUAUGGUUAGGAAACAUAACCAUCUUUGAUCAAUGAGCUAGUCAAGUAGAGGCAUACUAGUGACACUAUGUUUGUCUAUGUAUUCACACAUGUAUCAUGUUUCCGGUUAAUACAAUUCUAGCAUGAAUAAUAAACAUUUAUCAUGAUAAGAGGAAAUAAAUAAUAACUUUAUUAUUGCCUCUAGGGCAUAUUUCCUUCAACCCUUGCCCCUGGCGCAGCCCUCCCCCUCUCCAACUCCACCUCCUCCUCAGUAGUGCUUGGCGAAGCCCUGCCGGAGAAGUGCAAGCUCCACCACCACGCUGUCGUGCUGCCAGAGCUCUCCCUCAACUUCUCAUCUCCCCUUGCUGGAUCAAGAAGGAGGAGACGUCCCCGGGCUGUACGUGUGUUGAACGCGGAGGCACCGUCCGUUCGGCGCUAGAUCGGAUCUUCCGCGAUUUGAAUCGCCGCGAGUACGACUCCAUCAACCGUGUUCUUGUAACGCUUCCGCUUAGCGAUCUUCAAGGGUAUGAAGAUGCACUCCCUCUCUCUCUUGUUGCUAGAAUCUCCAUAGAUUGAUCUUGGUGAUGCGUAGAAAAUUUUGAAUUUCUGCUACGUUCCCCAACAGUGGCAUCAUGAGCUAGGUCUAUUGCGUAGAUUCUAUGCAUGAGUAGAACACAAGUAGUUGUGGGCGUUGGUUUUGUUCAAUAUGCUUACUGUUACUAGUCCUAUCUUGUUUCGACGGUAUUGUGGGAUGAAGCGGCCCGGACCGACCUUACACUUACACUUACAUGAGACAGGUUCCACUGACUAACAUGCACUUGUUGCAUAAGGUGGCUAGCGGGUGCCAGUCUCUCCCACUUUAGUCGGAUCGGAUUCGAUGAAAAGGGUCCUUAUGAAGGGUAAAUAGCAAUUGGCAUAUCACCGUUGUGGCUUUGCGUAGGUAAGAAACGUUCUUGCUAGACACCCUUUGCAGCCACGUAAAACAUGCAACAACAAUUAGAGGACGUCUAACUUGUUUUUGCAGGGUAUGCUAUGUGAUGUGAUAUGGCCAAAAAGAAUGUGAUGAAUGAUAUGUGAUGUAUGAGAUUGAUCAUGUUCUUGUAAUAGGAAUCACGACUUGCAUGUCGAUGAGUAUGACAACCGGUAGGAGCCAUAGGAGUUGUCUUAAUUUAUUGUAUGACCUGCGUGUCAUUGAAUAAUGCCAUGUAAUUACUUUACUUUAUUGCUAAACCGUUAGCCAUAGUAGUAGAAGUAAUAGUUGGCGAGACAACUUCAUGAGACACGAUGAUGGAGAUCAUGAUGAUGGAGUUCAUGGUGUCAUGCCGGUGACGAAGGUGAUCAUGUCGUGCCUCAAGAUGGAUAUCAAAGGCGCAAGAUGAUAUUGGCCAUAUCAUGUCACUUUAUGAUUUGCAUGUGAUGUUUGUCAUGUUUACAUCUUAUUUGCUUAGAACGACGGUAGCAUAAAUAAGAUGAUCCCUCACUUAAAUUUCAAGAAAGUGUUCCCCCUAACUGUGCACCGUUGCGAAAGUUCGUUGUUUCGAAGCACCACGUGAUGAUCGGGUGUGAUAGAUUCUAACGUUCACAUACAACGGGUGUAAGCCAGAUUUACACACGUGAAGCACUUAGGUUGACUUGACGAGCCUAGCAUAUACAGACAUGGCCUCGGAACACAAGAGACCGAAAGGUCGAACAUGAGUCGUAUAGUAGAUACGAUCAACAUGAAGAUGUUCGCCGAUGAUGACUAGUCCGUCUCACGUGAUGAUCGGACACGAACUAGUUGACUCGGAUCAUGUAUCACUUAGAUGACUAGAGGGAUGUCUAUCUGAGUGGGAGUUCAUUAGAUGAACUUAAUUAUCAUGAACAUAGUCAAAAGGUCUUUGCAAAUUAUGUCGUAGCUUACGCUUUAGUUCUACUGUUUAAGAUAUGUUCCUAGAGAAAAUUUAGUUGAAAGUUGACAGUAGCAAUUAUGCGGACUGGGUCCGUAUACUGAGGAUUGUCCUCAUUGCUGCACAGAAGGCUUAUGUCCUUAAUGCACCGCUCGGUGUGCUGAACCUCGAGCGUCGUUUGUGGAUGUUGCAAACAUCUGACAUACACGUUUUUGAUGACUACGUGAUAGUUUAGUGCGUAAUGUUAAACAGUUUAGAAUUGAGGCACGGAAGACAAUUUUGAAACGUCACAGAACAUAUGAGAUGUUCCAAGAGCUGAAAUUGGGAUUUCAGGCUCAUGCCCACGUCAAGAGGUAUGAGACCUCCGACAAGUUUCUUAACCUACAAACUAAGGGAGAAAAGCUCAAUCAUUGAGCAUGUGCUCAGAUUGUCUGACUACUAUAAUCACUUGAAUCGAGUGGGAGUUAAUCCUCCAGAUGAGAUAGUGAUGGUUCUCCAUAGUCACUGCCACCACGCUAUUAGAGCUUCGUGAUGAACUAUAACAUAUCAGGGAUAGACAUGAUGAUCCUUGAGCAAUUCGCGAUGUUUGACACCGCGAAUGUAGAAAUUGAGUAGGAGCACCAAUUGUUGAUGGUUAGUAAAACCACUAGUUUCAAGAAGGGCAAGGGCAAGAAGGGAUACUUCAUGAAACGGCAAAUUAGUUGCUGCUCUAGUGAAGAAACCCAAGGUUGAACCCAAACCGAGACUAAGUGCUUCUGCAAUGAGGGAACGGUCACUGAAGCAGAACUUCCCUAGAUACUUGGUAGAUGAGAAGGCUGGCAAGGUUGACAGAAGUACAUUGGAUAUACAUUAUAUUAAAUGUGUACUUUAAUAGUACUCCUAGUAGCACCAGGGUAUUAAGAUACCGGUCCGGUUGCUAAGUGUUAGUAACUCGAAAUAAAAGAGCUACAGAAUAAACAGAGACUAGCUGAAGGUGAGAUGACGAUGUGUGUUGGAAGUGUUUCCAAGGUUAAUGUGAUCAAGCAUCGCAUACUCGCUCUACCAUCGAGAUUGGUGUUAAACCUAAAUAAUUGGUUUUUGGUGUUUGCAUUGAGCAUAGACAUGAUUGGAUUAUGUUUAUCGCAAUACGGUUAUUCAAUUAAGGAGAAUAAUGGUUACUCUGUUUAUUUGAAUAAUACCUUCAAUGGUCUUGCACCUAAAAUGAAUGGUUUAUUGAAUCUCGAUCGUAGUGAUACACAUGUUCAUGCCAAAAGAUAUAAGAUAGUAAUGAUGGUACCACAUACUUGUGGCACUGCCAUUUGAGUCAUACUAGUAUAAAACGCAUGAAGAAGCUCCAUGUUUAUGGAUCUUUGGACUCACUCGUUGUUGAAAAGAUUGAGACAUGCAAACCAUGUCUAUUGGUAUAUAUGCAUGAAGAAACUCCAUACAGAUGGAUCGUUUGGACUCACUUGUUUUUGAAUCACUUGAGACAUGCAAAUCAUACCACAUGGGCAAGAUGACUGAAAGGCCUCGUUUUCAGUAAGAUGGAACAAGAAAGCAACUUGUUGGAAGUAAUACAUUUUGAUGUGUGCAGUCCAAUGAGUGCUGAGGCACGCAGUGGAUAUCGUUAUGUACUUACUUCACAGAUGAUUUGAAUAGAUGCUAAGUAUAUUUACUUGAUGAAACACAAAUCUGAAGUAUUGAAAGGUUCAAGUAAUUUCAGAGUGAAGUUGAAGAUCAUCGUGACAAGAGGAUAAAAUGUCUAUGAUAUGAUCAUAGAGAUGAAUAUCUGAGUUAUGAGUUUGGCACACAAUUAAGACAUUGUGGAAAUUGUUUCACAACUAAUACCGCCUGGAACACCAUAGUGUGAUGGUGUGUCCGAACAUCAUAACUGCACCCUAUUGGAUUUAGUGCAUACCAUGAUGUCUCUUAUCAAAUUAACACUAUCGUUUAUGGGUUAGGCAUUAGAGACAACCACAUUCACUUUAAUAGGGCACCACGUAAUUCUGUUGAGAUGACAGCGUAUGAACUAUGGUUUAGAGAAACAUAAGCUGUCAUUUCUGAAAAGUUUGGGGCUGCGACGCUUAUGUGGAAAAGUUUUAGCCUGAUAAGCUCAAACCCAAAGCGGAUAAAUGCAUCUUCAUAGGACACCCAAAAACAGUUGGGUAUACCUCCUGUCUCUGAUUCAGAAGCAAAAGUGAUUGUUUCUAGAAAUGGGUCCUUUCUCGAGGAAAAGUUUCUCUUGAAAGAAUUGAGUGGGAGGAUGGUGGAGACUUGAUGAGGUUAUUGAACCAUCACUUCAACCAAUCUGUAGCAGGCCACAGGAAGUUGUUCCUGUGGCGCCUACACCAGUUGAAGUGGAAGCUGAUGAUAGUGAUCAUGAAACUUCGGAUCAAUUCACUACCAAACCUCGUAGGUCGACAAGGACGCGUACUGCUUUGGAGUGGUACGGUAAUCCUGUCUUGGAGGUCAUGUUGCUAGACAACAAUGAACCUACGAGUUGUGGAGAAGAGAUGGUGGGCCCAGAUUCCAACAAAUGGCUCGAGGCCAUAAAAUCCGAGAGAGGAUCCAUGUAUAAAACAAAGUGUAGACUUUGGAAGAACUACUUGAUGGCCGUAAGCUGUUGGGUACAUAUGGAUUUUAAAAGGGAAGACGGACAACGAUGGUAAGUGUCACCAUUAAGGAAGCUCGACUUAUCGCUAAGAUGUUUUCCGACAAGUUCAAGGAGUUGACUACGAUGAGACUUUCUCACCCGUAGCGAUGCUAAGAGUCUGUUGAAAAAUUAUAUUAUUAGUUCUUGCAUUACUUAUGAAAUCUUGCAGAUAGGAUGUCAAAACAUUGUUUCCUCAAAGAUUUUCUUGAGGAAAGGUUGUAUGUGAUACAACCAGAAAGUUUUUGUCAAUCCUAAAAGAUGCUAACAAGUAUGCAAAGCUCUAGCGAUCCUUUAAGGACUGGAGUAAGCAUCUUGGAGUUGGAAUAUACGCUUUGAUGAGAUGAUCAAAGAUUUUGGGUUUAUACAAAGUUUAUGAGAAACUUGUAUUUCCAAAGAAGUGAGUGGGAGCACUAUAGCAUUUCUGAUGAGUAUAUGUUGUUGACAUAUUGUUGAUCUGAAAUGAUGUAGAAUUUCUGGAAAGCAUAUAGGGUUAUUUGAAAAGUGUUUUUCAAUGGAAAACCUGGAUUAAGAUACUUGAACAUUGUGCAUCAAGAUCUAUAAGGAUAGAUCAAAAUCGCUUGAUAGUACUUUCAAAUGAGUACGCACUGUGACAAGAUUUUGAAGGAGUUCAAAAUAGAUCGACAAAGAAGGAGUUCCUGGCUGUGUUAUAAGGUGUGAGUAUUGAGUAAGAAUCAAGACCUGACCACGGCAGAAGAGAGAGAAAGGACGAAGGUCGUCCCCUAUGCUUUAGACGUAGGCUCCACAGUAUGAUAUGUUGUGUACCGCACAUAAAGUGUGCCUUGCCAUGAGUCAGUCAAGGGGUACAAGUGUGAUCCAGGAAUGGAUCACAGGACAGCGGUCAAGGUUAUCCUUAGUAACUAGUGGACUAAGGAAUUUUCUCGAUUAUGGAGGUGGUAAAAGAGUUCGUCGUAAAGGGUUACGCCGAUGCAAACUUUGACACUAAUCUGGAUGAUUCUGAGUAGUAGACCAGAUUCGUAUAGUAGAGCAGUUAUUUGGAAUAGUUCCAAAUAGCGCAUGGUAGUUGCAUCUAGGAGAUGACAUAAAGAUUUUUAAAGCACACAUGGAUCUGAAAGAUUCAGACUCGUUGACUAAUAACCUCUCUGACAAGCGAGAUAUGAUCAAACCCAAUGGGUGCUGGAUUCAUUACAAUCACAUACUGAUGUGAACUAGAUUAUUGACUCUAGUGCAAGUGGGAGACUGUUGGAAAUAUGCCCUAGAGGCAAUAAUAAAAUGGUUAUUAUUAUAUUUCCUUGUUCAUGAUAAUUGUCUAUUGUUCAUGCUAUAAUUGUAUUAACUGGAAACUGUAAUACAUGUGUGAAUACAUAGACCACAACAUGUCCCUAGUUGACUAGCUCGUUGAUCAAUAGAUGGUUAUGGUUUCCUGACCAUGGACAUUGGAUGUCAUUGAUAACAGGAUCACAUCAUUAGGAGAAUGAUGUGAUGGACAAGACCCAAUCCUAAGCAUAGCACAAGAUCGUGUAGUUCGUUUGCUAAAAUCUUUUCUAAUGUCAAGUAUCAUUUCCUUAGACCAUGAGAUUGUGCAACUCCCGGAUACCGUAGGAAUGCUCUGGGUGUGCCAAACGUCACAACGUAACUGGGUGGCUAUAAAGGUGCACUACGGGUAUCUCCGAAAUUGUCUGUUGGGUUGGCACGAAUCGAGACUGAGAUUUGUCACUCCGUGUGACGGAGAGGUAUCUCUGGGCCCACUCGGUAAUGCAUCAUCAUAAUGAGCUCAGUGUGACUAAGUAGUUAGUCACGGGAUCAUGCAUUACGGAACGAGUAAAGUGACUUGCCGGUAACGAGAUUGAACGAGGUAUUGGGAUACCGACGAUCGAAUCUCGGGCAAGUAGCGUACUGAUUGACAAAGGGAAUUGUAUACGGGAUUGCUUGAAUACUUGACAUCGUGGUUCAUCCGAUGAGAUCAUCAUGGAACAUGUGGGAGCCAACAUGGGUGUCCAUAUCUCGCUAUUGGUUAUUGGCCAAAGAGCUGUCUCGGUCAUGUCUGCAUGAUUCCCGAACCCGUAGGGUCUACACACUUAAGGUUCCGUGACGCUAGAGUUGUUAUGGGAAUUAGUGUGCAGUUACCGAAUGUUGUUCGGAGUCCCGGAUGAGAUCUCGGACGUCACGAGGAGUUCCAGAAUGGUCCGGAGGUAAAGAUUUAUAUAUGGGAAGUCCUAUUUUGGCCAACAGAAAAUGUUUAGGAUUUUUUGGUAUUAUACCGGGAAGGUUCUAGAAAGUUCCGGAGUGGGGCCCACCUGCAUGGGGGGACCCACAUGAACGUGGGUAGUGGGGGCAAGGCCCCACACCCCUGGUCAAGGCGCACCAAGAUCCCCCCUUAGAAGGAAUAAGAUCAUAUCCCGAAGGGAUAAGAUCAAGAUCCCUAAAAAGGGGGGAGAAUAAUCGGUUGGGAAGGGAAAUGAUGUGGUUUCUUUCCUCCACCUUUUCCAAUGCCCCAAUGGACUUGGAGGGAAAGAAACCAGCCCCCUCCACCCCUAUAUAUAGUGGGGAGGCGUAUGGGAGCUGCAACCCUUGCCCCUGGCGCAGCCCUCCCCCUCUCCAACUCCACCUCCUCCUCAGUAGUGCUUGGCGAAGCCCUGCCGGAGAACUGCAAGCUCCACCACCACGCCGUCGUGCUGCCGGAGCUCUCCCUCAACUUCUCCUAUCCCCUUGCUGGAUCAAGAAGGAGGAGACGUCCCCGGGCUAUACGUGUGUUGAACGCGGAGGCGCCAUCCGUUUGGCGCUAGAUCGGAUCUUCCGCGAUUUGAAUCACCACGAGUACGACUCCAUCAACCGCGUUCUUGUAACGCUUCCUCUUAGCGAUCUUCAAGGGUAUGAAGAUGCACUCCCUCUCUCUCUUGUUGCUAGAAUCUCCAUAGAUUGAUCUUGGUGAUGCGUAGAAAAUUUUGAAUUUCUGCUACGUUCCCCAACAUCAUCAUCAUGGAGAACCGCAAAGUUCAAGCAUGUCUAACGACAUCGUCAACAUAUGCCUAUGUCACUCGAGCAAGGCUUUCCCCUUUGGGCAAUACAACCCUACCACCAACAUCAGCUAGCGGUAUAUACCAAGGCCAACCCUUCCUUAUGCAAACUCAAAUUUUUCUCAAGAGCUCGGUCAUUGUCGGACUUGCAACCUCAUCAUUCCUCCAGGUUUUAUCUAGCUUGGCUACUGAAAUAAAAUUUUGGAACUUAAUCGAUGUCUUCUUUAAACAACUGAAAGCUACCUUACUUAGGGCUUACUAAUAAAAUACAUCAUAUGUGUGUAUUGUAUGAUGAUUUCUUUGGACAUGCAUUGCAAUUACAAUUAUCCGUUUGGUAGUUUUUCUUAUUCUUACAACAUUUUGUUUUGAUGUAUUGUUACUUUGGUUAUGACGACAUAAUAAAUUUGUGGUUAUGUGCAUCUAUAUUUUAUGCAAAGACACAUGUACUAUAUCUAGCUCAUUCAUUUCAUGAAAAAAGAGGGAUGAGAUCUACCAAUUGCCUUUUCAGCCACAUAGUUCAUGGGGUAGUCUAAAUGUAUAACUUUGACAUAUUCCAAUAAGAAAGCACUUUUAAUAAAUCUACUUUAUGACACCUACCAACUAUAUUUUGCUCUAUGUGUGCCUCAAUAUAUAACCAUCAAACUACUACUCAUUUCACAUAUGACCAGCCACCUUAUGAUACUUCAUAGGUUUAAAUUCCAUGCUCAUCUAUGCUCUAUGAUUCUAGUACAUGCUAGUUUGUUGGAACAGAUUGUUAGGAACAUAUCAUGCUCAAUCAUGAAAUAUACUACAUUAAGGUUGGCCGUCGACUUGGUUGGGCCAUAUAUAAGAAAGCACACACAUAUCCAUGAGGUACAAUAUGUGUGAUGUAAAAGUACACACACACACACACACACACACACACACACCUUAUUUAGUUUAUAAGUUGCUUGGAAUGAGCGGCCCAGGAAAACAUCUAUCACAGGAUGUAUGGAGUGCACAUUAAAAAUCUGAGGCUUCACUCCAAAAUCUUCCUCAUGAAGAAGAUGUAAUUUUUUUACUUCAAACUUUUCUUCACUCUUGUGGUCUUUUUGACUAGGAUACCCUAGCAAAGGGAGAUGAGCGAACCUGUCUUAUUGACGUUUGAUGAGUUAGCAAUUUGCUUCCUUUGGAGUAGCUGCCUCAUCUUUUGGCGUUUCCUCUUGAGCCUCCUCAUGUUCUUCUUCUUCCACGGCACAUAAUUGCAAAAGGAUGUACAAAUCAGUACACAAUGUAUAAUAUAAUUUUAAAUGUGAAGAGUACAAAGUAGGACAAGAAAACAUAUAAUUGUUGGAAGCAUGAGUAUUGAGUGUUCAGACUUGAUCGGCCUCAUUGCGUGAUGAUCAAUUGGUUAAAUGAACAAAUAGAAAGCAAGGGUAAACGAAACAAGGGCAGAUCUUACAACACAGUAUUUGGCAAAAAGUGAUAAGAAUGAAAGAGUGAGAUGAAUCUUUCUCCGAAAGAGAGCAUAUAUGCAAUCGUUUUGAACUUAAGAAUGAGUGGGAAGAUUUUUUUUUUCAUCAGGUAGAUUGUCUUCCUCAUUGUGCCAACAACACAGUUAAUCCUAAAAUGGAGUCACAAAGUUAAAGACUAAUCAUCUUCUUUCAAACAAAUGCCUUGAUUAUACACAUGGUUUAAUAGAAUGGAUUACAUCACACUCGUCAUAUAUUUUAAUCGCUACAGAGAAUUAACACAACAAUAUCAACUAUUUAUACCUAACACCAGUACUCUCUCCGUUCCUAAAUAUAAUUCUUUUUAGAGAUUCCAAUACGAACUACAUACGGAUGUAUAUAGAUAUAUUUUAGAGUGUAGGUUCACUCAUUUUGCUCCGUAUUUAGUCCAUAUUGGAAUCUCUAAAAAAGACUUAUAUUUAGGAACGGAGGGAGUAGUCAAGCAAAAUACAUACGCACAUAUAAUGACUAAAAAAGCCUGGGGCAAGUUUAAUAACUAUUCUCCGAGACAAAUGCCUCAUUAUUCCACACGGUUUAGUAUAAUAGAUUACAUCUGACUCUUAACCUCUGUUCAUCAUCAUUGAGAACAAUAACACUAGAAAUACCGACAAUUUGACUUGAAUGUCAUGACUCAUGGGCGGCCUAGCAAAUCUUCUCUUAUCAACCUGUGCACACACACUACAUCUAAUGCGUAGUAGCAACCACAGAGCAAAAUAUGUUGCUUCUUGUCCGUGGUUUAAAUUAAGUGAAAUUUUCAAGGUUAGCAUAUCAUCGUGUAGCACGGUUGCUAUUUGUAUGUACACACAUACAAAAAUAAGGUGUGUGCAUUGAAUGCUUCAUCCUAGUGAUCCUUCCAUUGUCUAAAAAGUGUCCAGGGGUUAGUAUUGAUAUUUGGUCACAUCGGAUUUAAGCUAAGCCCGUGAUGCAGACUCAAGUUUGAAAUAUGUCAGGCCCUGACCUUGAGCAUGAUCUGUUUGACAGCUCUAGCAAAAUGAUAGAUUCAACCCAAGAAAAUUAGUGAUGAAAUAGUAAUAGAUUGAUAUCUUCUCCUAUUAGUCACCUACCGACAUUCAUAAAUUGCGAUAGUACUUGAGCCAUCAAAGUUGCAGGGAGGGACUUGAAAAUAACUUUGCCAUGUGCAAGGUUAUUACCUCAAGUACUUGACCACAAGUAGUAUAUGGUAUCAUCUUUGCUAUUUCCUUUCUAGAAGUCAGUUCACACGACGCACAGACGCAUUCUUGUGACCCGUGAUUAACAAUGUUUGUGAUCCUAACCAAACACAUUGCUCAUCACAUUUUAGCCUCUUUUGUUUGUUGUAAGCAUGUGAAGACAAAAUCACUUGUUGAUGUGAAUGUGGUGCACUGAAGCACCAUGGCGGCUUGGGAAUGAGUGGCAUCGUGAAAACAUGUCAAACAAUGAUGAUUCUUGAGGUUGUUUGGUUUGGUUCCUGGUCACAAGGUGUGGAUGUUGUGUGGAGGACGUUUAGUGUGUGUCCUCGAGAGUGGAUGGCUUGCCCGUCAUGAUUCCAUAUAGGCAUGAGAUUAUCCUGGCCCAAGCGCUCGAACUCCGAUGCAUGUGCGAGCAUCGUCUGCAACCUGGAUGCUAAGCGCUUGGUUGGUACUUCGGUUUCCAGCCGAAUCCCUCUGUAAAACAUACACCCCUGUAAAGAAGAUCAUUUUUGCCCUAGAAAAAUUACACCCGUUUCUUAGAUUAUGCUGGUAUUUGUCCGGUAUUUCCCUUUGUCUCGAUCCACAUAAACGAGUACAAGCACACACGCCCCGGGACGGCCUGUGCCAAAGCAGGGCACCAGCGACCGUGACGGUUGGGCUGGAGGAUCCCUGGCUCUCACCGGCCAUAAAAAUGCAAGGACUGGGUGGCAAUUGUUAGAACUCAGAAAAUUAAGAGUAAACUUGUAUUGGUUGAUAGACAGAGUACAACUUAUAUAUGUCUUGAAGAGAUGCAUCUCAUAGGUCGCGACGGUUCAUACAGGCGCAUCCUAGAGAUGCGUCGGUUGGUGCUAAGUAAUUGCCGUGCAGUUAAACAAGAGGAGAUUUUCCCUAAUUAAUAUAUGUGCAAAUUAAUCACAACACUCCCCCUAGUCUAUGCUUGUCUAUAUAGAAUCGUCAUAGGAUCAUCAGGUAGAAUCGUCAUCUUGAAAGAUUGUCCAGGUUGCAUCAUCAUCUCAAAGGAUUCUUCUCCGACAAUUCUUCAUUAAUAUUCUUGACGAGAACCUGAAACAUAAAAUUCACAGAGAAAAAGAAAUGUAAUAUGAUACUUCAAACAGGUACAGUUCAAGGAGACACUCCCCCUGAUUCUUGCAAGUCCCGAAGUCGUCGCAUACCAAUUCCAUGAACAUAUUUCUGGAAUGUAGAAUUUGGUAGAGACUUGGUAAAUAAAUCAGCAAGAUUUUCACAUGAUUUAAUUUGCAAGAUGUUUAUUUCCCCCUUUUUCUGAAGAUCAGGGGAAAAAGCACUUAGGAGAAAUAUGUUUAGUGAUAUUACUGUUGAUGUAUCAUGUUUGCAUCUGUGCAACACAACCGCAUUAUCUUCGUAGAUAAUGGUAGGUGAUUCUAUAGAACCAAUUCCACAUGACUGUUGUAUGUGGUUUAUCAUUCUACGAAGCCACACACAUUCGCGUGAUGCCUCAAAUAAUGAAAUUAUUUCAGAAUGAUUGGUAGAUGUUGCCACCAGAGUCUGUUUAGAAGACUUCCAUGAUAUGGCAGUUCCACCAUGUAGGAACACAAAGUCGGACUGCGAUCUGGCAUUAUGGGAUCAGAUAAAUAGCCAGCAUCGGCGUAUCCAAUCAUAUUAGAGUCUUGAUUUCUCUGGAACUGAAAGAAUAGGCCAAGAUCCUUUGUGCCUUGGAGAUAUCGAAAGAUAUUCUUAACUCAGGACCAAUAGCGUUUGGUGGGAGCUGCGCUAUGUCUAGCAAGUAGAUUCACUGCAAAUGCGAGGCCAGGUCUCGUGCAAUUUGCAAGAUACGUGAGCGCUCCAACGGCACUAAGAUAUGGAACCUCAGGUCCCAAUAUUUCUUCUCCAUCGUCCCUUGGCCUGAACGGAUCUUUCUCUACGUCUAGAGAGCGAACCACCAUGGGAGUUUUAGAUGGGUAGGAUUUGUCCAUAUUGAAUUUCUCCAAUAUUUUCUGGAUAUAAGCAGCUUGGUAUACCAUGAUUCCUGAGGUGAGGUGCUCAAAUUGAAUACCUAAGCAAAUUUUGGUUUUACCCAAAUCCUUCAUCUCAAAUUCUAUCUUUAGAUGAUUGUGUGCUUCAUCAAUGUCAUGUGUGUUGCCAAUGAUGUUGAGGUCAUCGACGUACACUGAAAUGAUGCAAAAUCCUGUAUAGGACUUUUUGAUAGACACAUGGGCAAUCACUACUAUUAGAGUAGCCUUUUUGUAGAAGGAACUCAUUAAGUCGGUUGUACCACAUCCGUCCCGACUGUCUUAAGCCAUAUAUUGACUUAUUAAGUUUUACACAAUACAUGUUGCAUUUUGCGCUUGUAUUCGGGAUAGAGAUUCCGUCAGGAACCUUCAUAUACAUGUCUAAAUCUAGUGACCCGUAAAGAUAUGCGGUCACGACAUCCAUCAACUGCAUAUAUAGACGGUUUUGCACUGCCAAAGAUAUAAGGUAUCGGAAAGUGGUUCCACUCAUUACAGGAGAAUAUGUUUCAUCAAAAUCAAUGUCGGGUCUCUGCGUGAACCCUUGCGCUACGAGCCUUGCUUUGUAUCUCACCACCUCAUUGUUCUCAUUCCGUUUCCGGAGAAAAACCCAUUUGUAUCCGACAGGGAAAACAUUGGGAGGUGUCGGUAUUGCUUUAGUGAAUACCUUUCUUUUGUUAAGCGAGGCAAUUUCUGCUUGUAUUGCGUCCUUCCAUUUAGGCCAGUGGGAGCGCUUUUGGCACUCAACGAUAGUCUUUGGAUCAUGAUCAGUCAUAAGGAUAUCUGCAAUUUUUUCAGCAAAAUAAAUGUUGACAGUCGUAAACUUACGGUCGAAAGAUUCUCCAGAAUCGAUAUAGUUGAUGGAAAUUUCCUGCACCCCUAGUGACUCUUCAUGUUUUCCCAAUACGCGUGAGUCUGGGUGUUUUGAUGGCCCAGCCAGUGUGUGCAAACUGAAGCUGGGUUGUGGAGGUUGUCCUUCCACUGGGUGUAUACUACCCAUAAGGUGUUUGUCAAUGUUGAGCUGACCUGCAUUUACUAACUCCGGGGUUUUUCUCCUCGAUCUCCUUUGUUGCUUGCUGGAAGCUUGUUCCAGGUCAGAGGUCGUACUACUCCCCCUCUUUUUAGGAAUAGGGAGUUGAGUGGUUUUUAUUAGUACCUCCACUCUUUCGGGCGCAUUUCUGGACGGAUUUAAGGACUUUGUAACACCUUUUAGAUCAGUAAAUGAAUCUGGCAGGUUAUUUGCAAGAUGUUGCAAAUUAAUGAUUUUCCAAACUUGGAGUUCAGUCUCUUGUGUACGUGGAUCAGAGUACGAAAUGGCUUGAGCAUUCCAAUCAAUUUCCGGGCAUUCUUUCUGGUACUUGAAAUCUCCCCCUAAUGCCGGAAAGUGUUCCUCAUUAAAUAUACAAUCAGCGUGACGGGCUGUGAACAGGUCCCCAGUAAGUGGUUCUAGGUACUUAAUAAUCGACGGCGAUUUGUACCCCACAUAGAUCCCCAAUUUCCUAUGUGGGCCCAUGGAUGUCCGCUGUGGUGGUGAGAACGGGAUGUAUGCAGCACAUCCGAACUUGUGCAGAUGGGAAAUGCUAGGAGGAUUUCCACGUACCAAUUGUAGAGGGGAAGUACUGUGAUAUGCAGUAGGCCUCAAUUGUAUCAAGUCAGCAGUGUGUAGGCAAGUUGCAAUUCAUUAACAAAGGUCUUGCAAUGAGUUUGAUCAUUUUAAUCAAUGAUUCAGCUAAACCAUUUUGUGUAUGGACAUAUGGAACGGAGUGCUGAACUUCAAUCCACAGGGCCAUGCAAUAAUCAUUGAAAGCACGUGAGGAGAAUUCUGCAGCGUUGUCCAUGCGAAUUGUCUUAAUUUGGCUUUCUGGAUAAUGGGCUUGUAACUUAAUAACUUGCCUCAUUAUCUUGGCAAAUGCAUGGUUUCACGUGGAUAGAAGAUACACGUGUGACCAUCAUGUAGAUGCAUCAAUUAGAACCAUGAAGUACCGGAAAGGUCCAGAUAAUGGUUGGAUGGGACCACAAAUGUCUCCUUGAAUGCGUUCAAGAAAUUGAAGUGGUUCAACUUGUAUUUUGAGGUAGACAGAGUACAGCUUAUAUAUGUCUUGAAGAGAUGCGUCGCACAAGUCGCGACGGUUCGUACAGGCGCAUCCUAGAGAUGCGUCGGUUGGUGCUAAGUAACCGCUGUGCAGUUAAACAAGAGGAGAUUUUCCCUAACUAAUACUUCCUCCUUUCCAUUAUGUAAGGUGUAUUAUUUUCAGCAUGGUGACCAAGGCACAAAAUUAUAGACAUGUUAGGACUGAAUUACCCUUGGCAAAUUUGUUAAUUAGUGAUAAGUAAAUCAAUUAGUCCAGGAAAGUAAGAGAUGCAUGCAAUCGACAGAGAGAUACUUUCCUUAUUUUGCCAAAGGAGAGAUAUAGACAAUCAGGAGAGGGAUACUUUCCAUUUUUAUACAGGGCUAACAAGGGAAGAAGAAAUGCACCUGCAAAUUAAUCACAGCAGCAAUCACUCUCUGCUCCCAACCUGGCUGGGGGUGGCAACAAGGUGGGUCUCGGACUCCAACUCCUGGCCCGGUGGAUCUCGUCCUCGCGCCUGACCGUGUUGUGACGAACGAGGGGCAGAUGCCUCUGAGCAUGUUUGGUAUGCCGCGUCCUCGAGCACUCAAACAGUGCAUGGGAGCACCGGCUGCAGUCUAUGUGCCCCCUUAUAAAAAAGGAGAAAGAUUGCACAUAUCUCUCUUUUUCUAAAGAUUUAUCACAAGUACAGAGCACCCCUAGAAUGGAGAAAAAUGACUCUCAACACUAAGCCAAGAGAUCAUCUAAAAGAUAAGAGAAGUUGUAAAAUUGUUUCUCUCUUUCAAUCUGCGCCUGAAACAAAACUACGGCUGCAGAGGAAGAGCUCCGUAAUGAGGUCUGCUUGUUGUAGGGGCAGAUUGAGUACUCAUAGCAAUUCCAGUUGUAAAUAUGCUUUCGACAAGCAAAUGGAAACAAAACAAACUAAAAUAACACUCAAAACAUCAGAUGCAUGCCAGAAAAGAAGGAACAGGCAGGGCAACAGAUCAAAAAUAGACGAUAAUAUUUCUUAAGCCAAAUAUCCAGCCUUGGAAGGAAAGCAUAUAAUUAUCCUCAUGUUACAAGGGUUGGCAUCCCCCAAAUAUCACAACAACCCAGACAUAUCAGGAACCAAAAGACCCUAUCAUCCCAACAGACUGGUGCAGUGAUACAAGGUUAAGCUUUCUCCUCGUUCACCUACUUGGAUCGCUGCCUCAUCUUUCGGCGCUUCCUCUUGAGCCUCCUCAUCCUCUUCUUCUUCCACUGCAAAGUAAAGUAGCCGCACAGUUCAUUAACACUAGAAAUAUUCCAGGAAAUGCUUAGGAACACAACAAUAAUUCCAAUAUGAAAACUGAGAUAUAGUACUAUGUGACUUGGAAUCAGAAGAUUGAGUGUUUCAUUGGAUAUCAUCACAUGAUUUUCAGAAACACGGACCAAUUGUUCUUCAUCAUAUCCCAAACUGAAGUCAAUUUCAAAGGCAAAUAGGAAAAAACUAUGAUAAGAUAUCUGAAGAACCAGCUAAGCAAAGUAUAGAAUCACAGUCGGUUUGACAUUCAGAAUGAGUAGGAGGAUUUUAUCAUCAAAUAGAUCAGACGCCAAUUGUCUUCCUCAUCAUGCCAACCGACGCAAUUGUUUAUACAAAAAAAAGUAGGGAGAAUGAGCACUCUAGGAGAUGCAUAGGAACAUAACAACAAUUCAAUCAUGAAAAUGGAAAGAUAGUUCAUGUGAUUUAGAAUCAGAAGAUUUGAGUGUUUCAUUGGUUAUCAUCACAUGAUUUUCAGAAACACGGACCAAUUGUUCUUCAUCAUAUCCCAAACUAAAGCUGAUUUCAAAGGCAAAUAGGAAACAACUAUGCUAAGAUAUCUAAAGAACUACUUAAGCAAAGCAGAGAUCUGCAUUCGGUUUGACAUUCAGAAUGAGUAGGAGGAUUUUAUCAUCAAAUAGAUCAGACAGCAAUUGUCUUCCUCAUCAUGCCAACCACACAAUUAUACACAAAACAAACAGCGGGAGAAAACGAGCUAAGCAAUCAGCGUUCUCUCAGACAAAUGCCUCGAUUGUCCACAUGGUGUAAUAGAAUGGAUUACAUCAGACUCGUCAUCUGUUUUAAUCAUCACAGAGAACAAACACAACACUAACAACAUUGUACCGAACACCAGCAGUCAAGCAAAUCUAAUGAAGACACAUGCAGAAAUUGCGUCAAAGAAAGAAGAAGACAAAGUUAGGGGGCAUUGACAAGUAUUCUCUCAGACAAAUGCCUCGAUUGUCCACACGGUGUAAUAGAAUGGAUUACAUCAGAC